rnacentral:rRNA from 1 species
GACGAACGCUGGCGGCGUGCUUAACACAUGCCAGUCGAGCGAGGCCCCUCCUUCGGGAGGGUGUCCUAGCGGCGAACGGGUGAGUAACACGUGGGCAACCUGCCCUCAGCUCUGGGAUAACUCCGGGAAACCGGGGCUAAUACCGGAUACGACCUCCACGGGCAUCUGCGGAGGUGGAAAGUUUUUCGGCUGAGGAUGGGCCCGCGGCCUAUCAGCUAGUUGGUGGGGUAGUGGCCCACCAAGGCGACGACGGGUAGCCGGCCUGGGAGGGCGACCGGCCACACUGGGACUGAGACACGGCCCAGACUCCUACGGGAGGCAGCAGUGGGGAAUAUUGCGCAAUGGGCGAAAGCCUGACGCAGCGACGCCGCGUGAGGGACGAAGGCCUUCGGGUUGUAAACCUCUUUCAGCAGGGACGAAGCGAAAGUGACGGUACCUGCAGAAGAAGCACCGGCCAACUACGUG